UGAGUGUAUUUAAGGAGCUGUUGCAGCAGUUCUAGACUGCUUGAUAACCUCGUUGUCACCUCCCCAGGUGGCUGUAAUGAAAGUGGUGCAAUUUUCUUUAGAAGGGCAGGAACCUGCAAAAAAAUUAAAUAUGUCAAGUUAGUCCAGUGUGUGGAGACUCCAGGAUCCGAAGCCAAGCCUCCCGCAGACGGAUUAGUUUUACAGCUAUGAGAAGGCAUUACCCCGGCAGGGCACGGACAUCCCUGCUGAGGAGGGUGGGAUAUCGCUGCAAAAACCUUCUCUGAACAUCCCUACACAACAUGAAUUUCCAGGAAAGUGGCAAUGCUGUUAGCAGUUCUGCCUGUUCUGAACCUCCUUUGCAGCAGAGAAGUCUAAUAGUGAAUGUAUUUGACUAUAAAUAACAAUAAACUUCACAGAAAAUAAAUUUAUAUAUUUGUA
rnacentral:lncRNA from 1 species